GAGCACUGAGCCCACUGCUUUCAGUCGCCUCAAUCAUCCCCCCAUGCCCUUGAGUCUGUUUCCACAAUAGUCUGUCUCUCCUUCACUCGUUCGCGGUGAACUUUAACUCUGUCACAGUGACCCUGUUUCAACACAUCUGAGGUGUGUUUUGCUGAUCGGCCUCCAUGGAUACGCCCAACACAAAAGAAAAAGGGCAGUAUAGCUGUCUGAUUGUAAUAUUCAGGUGGAUGAUGAUGAAGAGGAGGAGGAUCUAUGCAUACCGACAGAGAGAGCAUCAGUGUGGAGACAGAGAGGGAAGACACGUCAGCCCCUUCAGCCAAAUACAAGGAGAUGGUGGUGGAUUUCAGGAGGAAGAGGUCACCCCAUCAACCAGUCUCACACACUGGGAGGAUGUUGAGAUGGUGCACACCUAAAUAUCUAAGGGGUCUUCUUAGAUGGGAAGCUGGACUGGUCCUCUAACACUGACACCUUCUACAGGAGGAGGCAGAGCCGCCUGUUCUUCCUGCGGACACUGAGGUCUUUAGAUGCAUGUGUGUGGAGAUGUUGACCGAGUUGACCACCUGACAGACAAAAACACCAAGUGUUUGGACAAGCUGGUUAAAAAAGCUGACUCAGUGCUCAGCAGGAGACACUAAGAGCUGUGGUGGAGAGGGGCACACUGAACAAAGCCUGGAGCGACAGAGGAGCAGCUGCAGCAGUCGGCUCAUCUCACUGCAUUGCAGAACGGAGCGUUUCAGGAGGUCCUUCGUCCCCACGGCAGUAAGACUGUUUAAUACCUCUUGAAUCCAGUCACACACACUCACACACAUCACCUCAGCCACAACUGGACUGGACUGUGGAAUGGGCAAUUUUAUUUUGAUUUAAUUUCUACUUAUGCACUUAUUUUAUUGUAUGUCUAUUUUAAUACUACUGCGUUGUUGUUGAUGAGGGGAAGUGUGGUUGUUUUUGGACAGCUGAAUUUCCCUUCUGAGAUAAAUAAAGUUCUAUCUAAUCUA